AAGUCGUAACAAGGUUUCCGUAGGUGAACCUGCGGAAGGAUCAUUAACACGUAUCCAACGUUAAAACCCCUGUGAACCUUUAUUCGCCGCUCCCAGGGCUCAGUCGCGUAAAGUUAGCAAUCCCUGUACUCGUCCGAGAAAUGAAGGAGAAGUGAAUGAAAGUGUCAUUGGUUGUCUAAGGAUUUCGCCUAAACAGCGAUCACUGGAGGUCGAUCACCGACCGGUGGAUCAAGUCACAGGAGCUUCGGCUUCCCUCCCCAACCCCACUUCCUAUUGCCGCUCCGCGCUAACAACGCCGGGCAUUAAAAAACGUACUAAACAACUGUUAACAAUGGAUAUCUUGGUUCUC
rnacentral:misc_RNA from 1 species